rnacentral:lncRNA from 1 species
AUGCCAACAUGGCUUAACUUGUAUACCAGUGGUCUCACAAUGGAACCUCCAUUACACUUUGGUAGUGUGCUUGUGAAAAACACUCAUCCUCUUAGAUUAUCGCUUGUAUUUAAAAAGAAAAAUUGUUUAAUUUUAUCAACUACAAAUACAAUGGAAAUAACCACAUCAACUCAUAAUAGCAACAAAAAAAUCCGUUUAAAGAAUCGUCGAUGGAUUGUUUUUAA